CGUUGCGGACUUUACUCUGUCGGUUGACUGCCUUGAAUAAGGCCAAUCCAUAAACCAUAUUGGUGUUAGUGACAUCGUGACGAAUACUAAGGGAUUUGCCCCAGAUGGCAUUAACUACUUGGCCGGACAAAUGGGGAGCGCUGAGAGCUCUCACCCGGUACAACGAUUAGGACAACAGAAGGGUGCCCAGUUGGGCGCGAACCUCGGCUCAGGGCGUGGUCUGAGAGGAAGAAUAUUUGAAGGAAUUAAUCGACCCUAGCGGGUCGAUAGCGAUAAGCGCCGAAUGAGGGAAAUCGUCGACAACGCCGGCGGGGUCGGUAUCGGGGUUAUGAAGAUUAGAUUUAUUAUGUAACAUAAAUAACAGCAAUAAAGGCUUUUUUUUAUUUUUUUUAUGUACAUAAUUAUUUUACAUUAUAAACGGUGUA